rnacentral:rRNA from 1 species
UACGAAGGGAGCUAGCGUUGUUCGGAAUCACUGGGCGUAAAGCGCACGUAGGCGGAUUUGCCAGUCAGGGGUGAAAUCCCGGGGCUCAACCUCGGAACUGCCUUUGAUACAGCAAGUCUUGAGUUCGAGAGAGGUGGGUGGAAUUCCUAGUGUAGAGGUGAAAUUCGUAGAUAUUCGCAAGAACACCAGUGGCGAAGGCGGCUCACUGGCCCGAUACUGACGCUGAGGCACGAAAGCGUGGGGAGCAAACAGG